rnacentral:rRNA from 1 species
GCAGUAGACGCUGAAGACUUUAGCUUGCUAAAGUUGGAAGAGUUGCGAACGGGUGAGUAACGCGUAGGUAACCUGCCUACUAGCGGGGGAUAACUAUUGGAAACGAUAGCUAAUACCGCAUAACAGCAUUUAACACAUGUUAGAUGCUUGAAAGGAGCAAUUGCUUCACUAGUAGAUGGACCUGCGUUGUAUUAGCUAGUUGGUGAGGUAACGGCUCACCAAGGCGACGAUACAUAGCCGACCUGAGAGGGUGAUCGGCCACACUGGGACUGAGACACGGCCCAGACUCCUACGGGAGGCAGCAGUAGGGAAUCUUCGGCAAUGGGGGCAACCCUGACCGAGCAACGCCGCGUGAGUGAAGAAGGUUUUCGGAUCGUAAAGCUCUGUUGUAAGAGAAGAACGUGUGUGAGAGUGGAAAG